GAAUAACAUCGGCACGGCGACACUACGCUAUCCUCAGUUGCUCUAUGCAAGCAGCAGAACAACUCGAAGCAGCGGAAUAACUCUAGCAGCGGAACAACGACGACGGUGGUGAACUCCAAUCCGCAGGGACUCUGGCUGGAACGCUUAUCCUAGCUCGCAAACAAAGAAUCCAUGGCAAACAAGCAUGCAAUCCAGGCACGACCUGCAAGCUGGCAUGACACGCCAGGUCAGUACAUUGAAUGUACUUGCAAGCUCACAAUUAACCAGAAGCAUUCAAGACAAACAACAGCAUGGCAAUUACAAGUUAAGCAGGAAUUAACAUGAGAUCCUCAUAACAACAUGACCUGAACAACAUGACACCCAAAGUAAUACUCCCAAAAUAAUACUAGGUACCAUCAUGAAAAUAAUCAUAAUAGCCACUAAAAAUCCAAAGGCAACAUGAACACGAUACAACUAGAACAACAUGAGCAUAGCAUGAGCAUAUGAGUCUGACGAUACUAGCAUGCAACAUGAUGACACUAUAUGCAUUAUUUAUUUUGCUUGGGUUAUUACGUAACCAUCACAUGCAUCACUUACCAACCUCGGACAUCACACGAUUAUCUCAGGAUCAAAUCAAGCUUGGUAUAACACUACUAGAAAAAGGGCUAUAGAUGGGAUUGACACUAAUGGCGCACCAGACAAGCGGUGCGCCAUUAGUAUAUACUAAUGGCGCACCACCUUCUGAUACGCCAUUAGAGUUGAAACUACUAAUGGCGCACCUGGCCCAGGGUGCGCCAUUAGUAUCAAAAAAAAUUUAACUAGUGCGCCUGUCCAAACAUACUAAUGGCGCAUCCAGACACAGUGCGCCAUUACUAGUUGUAACUAGUAAUGGCGCACCUGCAGGAAAGUGCGCCAUUAAUGUUGUUUUUUCUAUUAUAUUUUUUAUUCCCUUUUUUGCAAAACUAGUAAUGGCGCACUUUUCCACCGUGCGCCAUUACUAGUUUAAACUAGUAAUGGCGCACUAUUCCAUAGUGCGCCAUUAGUAUGUUUUUUUUUUGCAAAACUACUAAUGGCGCACCACCAGAAGGUGCGCCAUUAGUAACCUGGAUUACUAAUGGCGCAUUUAGAGUUGGUGCGCCAUUAGUAAGUGGGCAGCAACAAGAUAUUUUGGACAGCCUCUCCUACCCACACUCACUUUCUCCCCACUUCAUUCUCUCCACCUCCUCCUUGUCUCGGGUGCCUCCUCUUUUUCACCUCAUUUCCACCAUAGAUUCAUUCAAUUUAAGUGGUUAAAUUACCUUGUUUUGAUAGGUAAGUAAGGGGGGAAGCUAUAUUUAUGUUGUUCUCCCUACAACAAUGUGCACAUGCACUUUUUAUGGCCUAGCUAGAUCUAUGUAUGUUCGUGGUGUUACAUAUGUUUGUGGUGUUGCAAAUGUGUUUGUGUUUGGAGGUGUACCGGUAUUUGAAAUGCGAUAGUUGCCAAUAUUUUGCCGGAAUGUUGAUUCAUUUCCGUUUCGGCGAGAAUGUUGGCAUUAAGCAUUCUUUUUGGUCCUAUUUUUAGGGAAAGUCAUGCCAAAUUUUUUCUUGGUUCUAAAAUAUCGUUUUGCUCUACCCCGCAGGCGACCAUGGUCCGCAUGAUGACCGGAGGCAUCGUGAAUAGGUUUUUGAGGUCCGCGAAGGCCGAGAUGCUUCAAAAGAACGAGACGGAGAUAAGAUGUCCGUGUCGAAGAUGCAAGCUGAAGAGCCUUAUUGCGGACCCGGAAUCCGGGCAGGUGCGGGACCACCUGCUCUUGCGUGGUUUCAUGGAUGGCUAUCGGUGGCAAGGUGAUGAAGAUGACUACGAAGUCGUCCAUGGGGGCCGGGCAAGAAAUGAGGAAGGGCAGCAAGACAACCACCGCGGCUCGGGCGGGCGAGAAGACGAAGAAUCCCCAGGAGAUGAUCACGACGGUGAUGCUGUACACAGUCAUCAUGUAGAAGAUGCAGGACAUGAUGAUGAGGAAGAUGCCGGAGCAGACGACGGGCAUGAUCAUGAAGAUGAUGAUGACGGCGGAGAAGACGACGCUGGACCAUCGAUGGGCUGGGUGCAGGACCAUCAUAUUCAAGAGCUGCUUCUCAAGCAGACGGAUAACGCAAGAGCUGCCGCCCGAGAGAAAGCCAAGAUGGAUCAACUUGAGUUAGACGUGGUUACUCCAUUGUAUGAAGGAUGCAGGCCCGAGGAUACCCGCCUGAAAGUAACGCUCAUGGCUCUGGAGAUGAAGGUAAAACACAAAAUGACCGACGCAUGCUUCGACGAGAACAUGUCAUUCUAGCACGAACGUCUUCCCAAGGGGAACAAGUGCCCGACCAGUUUGGAGGAGGCGAAGAAAAUCGUGUGUCCUCUGGAUUUACCGCACGUGAAAUACCAUGUGUGCAUGAACAAUUGCAUCAUUUAUCGGGACGAGCACGCGGAGUCUACCAUAUGUCCGGUGUGCGGCGUCACUCGAUACAAGAAGAGGAAGAAAGCUCCUCGAAAAGUGGUGUGGUACUUUCCGAUCACUCCUCGUCUGCAGCGGUAUUUCGCGGACCCUAAGGUAGCAAAGCUCCUGCGUUGGCACGCGGAUAGGGAGGAGAAGAAGCGAGAAGAUGACGCAAAUGAUUCGGAGAUAGAUAAAAAAGACAAGAUGCUGAGUCACCCUAAGGAUGCGAGCCAGUGGCAAGCGUUGAACUUCGAAGACCUAGAAUUUGGGAACGAUCCAAGGAACAUCGUGCUGGGCGCGAGCACCGAUGGAGUCAAUCCGUUUGGCAGCCAGAGAAGCACACAUAGCACCUGGCCUGUGUUUGUGUGGAUGUACAACCUUCCCCCCUGGUUGUGCAUGAAGAGGAAGUACAUUCACAUGAGUAUGCUAAUUGAAGGACCGAAACAACCAGGGAACGACAUCAAUCUGUAUCUGGGGCUGCUGAAAGAGGAGCUUGACACGCUGUGGAAAAUGCCAGCCAAUACGUGGGACGCCGCAGAGAAAGAAUAUUUCCCUAUGAGAGCCGCGCUGCUCACGACGGUGCACGGCUAUCUCGGUUACGGAUAUGUCGCGGGGCAGGUGGUCCACGGAUUUUCUGGAUGCGUCAGGUGCAUGGAUGACACAACGUAUCGCCAGCUAGAUAGAGAUCCCGAGUCUUCGAAAACCGUGUUCAUGGGACAUCGAAGGUGGCUUCGCGACGAUGACCCGUGGAGAAAACGCAAGGAUCUAUUCGAUGGUGAAACCGAACCCCGAGGACGCCCGCGUACGAGGAGCGGCGAGGAAAUAGACGAGCUGUUGAAAAAUUGGAAAGACUGCCCACUGCCGGGAAAGAAGCAAAAGGCGCCAGAGCCGGGAAAGAAGCGAAAGGCGCCAGAGCCGCUGCUGAAGGUAUGGAAAACGAGGUCUGUUUUCUGGGACUUGCCGUACUGGAAGAUCCACCGUGUGCCUCACAGCCUUGAUGUCAUGCAUAUCACGAAGAACGUGUGCGAGAGUCUGCUUGGUACCCUGCUCAACAUGCCAGAGAGGACCAAAGAUGGUCCGAAAGCAAGGGCGGACUUGAAAUCAAUGGGCAUCAGGCAGGAGCUUCACGCUAUAUAUGAUGAUGAUGAUGAUGAUGAUGAUGAUGAUGAUGAUGAGGCGAAGCAGGACACGGAAAGUCGUCGCAAAGGCAAAAAGGCCAAGAAAACCGGAAAUGACUACCCUCCCGCGUGCUUCACUCUAAGUCAGGAGGAGAUCGAGCAGUUUUUCACCUGCCUCGUAGGAGUAAAACUUCCUUACGGUUACGCGGGGAAGAUAAGCAGAUACCUAGACCUAGCGAAGCUGAAGUUCAGCGGGAUGAAGUCUCACAACUGUCACGUGCUGAUGACGCAGAUACUUCCAGUUGCAAUCCGUGGGAUCAUGGACGCGCACAUCCGUGAAACGCUAUUUGGCCUAUGCAACUUUUUCGACGACAUCUCUCGGAAGUCUGUUGGCGUGAGGCAACUCAGAAGGCUACAGGAAGAGAUCGUGGUGAUACUAUGCGAGCUUGAGAUGUACUUCCCGCCCGCAUUCUUCGACGUUAUGGUGCAUCUGCUGGUCCAUAUCGUGGACGAUAUCAUCCAACUCGGGCCGACGUUCCUGCACAGCAUGAUGCCGUUCGAAAGGAUGAAUGGUGUCAUCAAAGGAUACGUUCGCAACAUGUCACGUCCAGAGGGAAGCAUAGCCAGGGGCUUUCUGACCGAAGAGUGCAUCUCCUACUGCACAAAUUAUCUAGGCAUCGAGAACCCCGUUGGUCUGCCCGUCAACAGGCACCUCGGCAGGCUCGCUGGAUGGGGUCACCGUGAGGGUCGCCGCGAAAUGCAUGUCGACUUCGAGGGUUGACUCGCCGACUUUGAAAGAGCAAACCUAGUCGCGCUACAACACAUAGACGUGGUCGAUCCUUGGGUGGUAGAGCACAAAACCUUUAUUAAGAAGACGUACAAUGACCGAGGCCAACAGAGGACGGACGGAGAUAUACUCAAAGAGCACAACUCAUGUUUCACGCGUUGGUUCAAGCAGAAGCUUCUGUCGUACCCUUUACAUGAGGAUUCUUCCGCGGAAGAACAACUCAUAUUCGCCUUGUCACAGGGCGCCGAGCACAACCCGAUGACCUAUGAGGCGUACGAUAUCAACGGCUACACAUUCUACACCGAGGCCAAGGACAUGAAGAGCAAUGGUUAUCAGAACUCCGGGGUAACGAUGGAAUCCUACACCGGUAACGACAAGGACAGAUACUACGGAAGGAUCGAGGAGAUCUGGGAGCUGAGCUACGCUGGAGAGAAGGUCCCGAUGUUCCGUGUCAGAUGGGCCAAGAGCGUCCUAAAAGAAGACCGUUAUUUCACCACCAUGGUUAUACCCGAAGCCAAAUCCAAGACCGCAGGCGCAAACGUCACCGCGAAAAAUGAGCCAUGGGUACUGGCUUCCCAAGUGGACAAAUGUUUCUUCAUUACUGACCCGUCAAAGCCCAGUCGUGUUGUCGUGAGGAGAGGCAAAAGGAAGAUCAUCGGAAUGGAUGGAGUAGCCAAUGAGAAAGACUUCGACAAGUACGGCGACCCGAGAAUCGAACAUGACGACGAUGAUGAAGUAGCAGCAUACACCACAAGAAGAAGCAGGACCACCCUACCUAAAGGACGUCCGUUCCACAGAAGAACUCCAUUUGCGAAAAAGAAGGGCAAGAAGAUUGUGAACAGAUAGCUAGCUAAGAUCGAUUGUAUUUAAAUCGUAGCCUUCAUUUCUCGAUUGUAUUUCAUGGGCACUUUUUGAACUAUCAUGAAUAUUUUUAAAUUUCAUGGACACUCGAUCUCGAUCCCCCUCCAUCUCGAUCGCUAUCCCACCUCGCCAGAUCCGGUCCCCCUCGCCGCCGAGCACCCCCCGGUCCACCGGCCCCCCGCACCCCGCGCACCCUCCCCCGCUCCACCGGCAUUACUGUUUGAUGAUAUUUUAAAAAAAAUUAUUACUGUCUUAUAAAAAAAUAUUACUGUUAUGAUUUAAACAAGUUUGAACAUAUUUAAACACAAAUAAAUAUCAAACAGCAUUUUAAAUGCAUAAAAAAAUUUGUGGAGCCUGGGAAUCGAACCCAGGACCUCCUGGUGUGAGAACUGGCUGCUAACCAGUCGAGCUAGUAGAGGGAACUUGGUGUGGAUCAGGUCAGGUGGAAGAUAACCUGUUGGCUCGAGCAGAAAUCAAAAAAAAAUACUAAUGGCGCACCAGGGUGAGGUGCGCCAUUAGUAUGGAUGUACUUAUGGCGCACCGAGGGGUGGUGCGCCAUUAGUAUUGUGCCCUCGCCCUCGAUCCCCUUCCCCUCUCCUAUCCCCGGCCCAAACCUAUCCCCUCUCUCUCCCUCGCCCUCGCCCUCGAUCCCCUUCCCCUCUCCUCUCCCGACGCCGCUGCCCCGCCGCCUCGACGCCGCCCCGUCGUCCUCGUCUCCGCCCCGACGCCCCGACGCCGCGACGCCGCCCUCUCCUCUCCCGACGCCGCCGCCCCGCCGCCUCAUCGUCCACGUCUCCUCGGCGCCGCUCUCCUCGUCUCCUCGGAGCACCACCACCACCCAGACCUCGUCGCCUCCCGGACCUCGUCGCCCCACCACCACCCGGACCUCGUCGCCCCACCUCGUCGCCCCGUCCACACCACCGCCCCCGUGAGCUCCACCACCACCCGUCGGAUACGUCGACAAACCGGACCGGAGCCGAGCCGAGGAGCACCGCGAACCCGCCACCGAGCCCUUCUUCCACCUCGGAUUCCGCCGCCUCUCCUUCAAGUCCGGCCACCCUGCUGCUCCUAAUCCACCGCCGGGCCUUCGUGUGCCUCCGCGGUGAGCUCCCCUCGCUUCCCCUCUUCCGUUUCCCCUCAUCUCGAGUGUUGUAGACCCCUCGCGCACCCGCUCGCCUACGCGUACCGCCCGCACUGGCCGCGUCCACCCUGUCGCUCCCGAACUAUUUGGAGGAUGACAAGUUUGCCAUGUUAUAGAAACUUUCAGAAAUUGCCAUGGCAAUUGCUCCAGAAAUUCGCCAUGACAAGUACUCAUAGCAAUUCUAUCCAUCGCAAACUACUCAUAGCAAAUACUGCCAUGGCAACUACUACAGAAUUUUUCCAUGGCAAUUACUCCAGAAUUUGGCCAUGUCAAAAACUCGUAGAGAUUCUAUCCAUGGCAACUACUCAUAGCAAAGUCUGCCAUGGCAACUUUCAUAAAAACAUUCAGUUUGCCAUGGUACUUGAAAUAAGUUUGACAUGUUGUGGAAAUUUCAGACUUUGCCAUGUUUUACAUUUGUCGUGUUUUUAGCUAAGAGCAAUCCUACAUUUGCCAUGUGACCAUGGUCCCAAGAUUUGCCAUGGAAAAAGAUUGUAGCUGUGUAAACAAAAAAAAGUGUGAUAGCUCAAAAAAUGAGAUCUGAACCUACCACACAAAAAUUCAGUUAUGUAUCAAGGUGGCAAAAUGUUUGUUUGUUCUGUAAAAUAGCAUGGCAAAUUUUUAUCUAAGAGUUUGUUCUAUUUGUAUUUAUCUAAAGAUUAGCAUGGCAAUUUUCUACUUGGCACAAUCUUUUAGCAUGGCAAAAUAUAGGAUGAUAGCAUCCUAAUUUUUUCAUAUGGCAAAUAUGAAGAAAAGCAUCAACUUAUACCUGAGGAAAAAAUCUGAAGCUAGUGACAGCGCAGUGGCCACGCUUCUACUCUCCCUAUAUAAGCGUUGACACAUUGGCACUCUUUUGAUCAGACAAUAGCAUUAAUAGGUGGAGACUGUUUAAUACCGGGGUCCUAUUGUUGUAGAUUAUGACAGCUCUUGCAUUUGACAUCAUGAACAACUCUCCAUGACUUAAUUUUCCUAUAUGCAUUGGCCUGUACAGCAGGUUCACUUUUCCUAUAUGCAUUGGCCAGUACAGCAGGUUCACUUUUCAAAACAAAUUAGAGCAGACCUCAUACACCCAAGAAAACCUGAAAAAAAAUGAAGUUCAACCCCUCACUUUUCCUAUAUGCAUUGGCCUGUACAGUUGGAUUUGUUUCUGAUUUUAGUGUUUUCAGUCUAUUUUUCUAUUUCUGCUUUAGCAUAACGGAAUAACUAAUGGUGGCUGCCUAAUGAUGACAGACUAAGUUUCUGAUUUAUUUUGUUAUAGAAGUGUAGAUUCAUUGGUAGCAAUUGUUUUUCAGUGUCUCAUGCUGCUUGUAGUGUUUUGUCCAAAAUGCUGAAUGAUACUGCUUGGAGAUGCAUAUAUUGUUUCACCUCUACACAUGCCAAUGUAUUUUCCAUGUUGUGAUGGAGGCCUUUUUUGCCUUGUCCACCCGAGAGGCCCAUUAGUUUUGCCGGAAUGUCGAUUAACUUCCGUUCCGGCAAAUUCGGGUACUCCAUAUGUCCUAUUUUCAGCAAAGGUCAUGCUGAAAUUUUCCGUGAAUUUUAGCAUGACUUUGCUAAAAAUAGGACAUAUGGGGUACUUGUGACUAAUGCAUGGGCCGGGGUAUCUUAGUAGUUAAUUAAGUAGGAUCAAGUGCCCCGGCGUACUUGUGACUAAUGCAUGGCUUUUAGGGUGCCUCGGUGUCGAUAAAAACCGAAAUGAUGAAAGCUUAGGCUUUUAGGGUGCCUCGGCGUCGAAAAACCCUCAAUGAUAAAAGCUUUGCUUUUAGGAUGCCUCGGUGUCGACAAACCCUAAAUGAUGAGACCAUGAUCUUGUUCCUUGACAAUAACCAACUUUUUGACCAAACUUUGUUCCUAUUUAGAGAGAAACAUGGCCAAAAACGAUGAGGCCGGGGGUGCGGGCGUCAAGGCAUUCUGGAAGCUGUCCCAGGAGAUGGAGGAACAACCUCACUUGUAUGAGGACGCCGCCUUCCCCACCGAUCCUGAGACCACUGAUGGCACCGCCGAGGAUGACCCCACUGAUGCCACCACUGAUGGUGCCGCCGAGGAUGCCACCACUGAUGAUGGCGGCGCACGCACAGAUGGCAGCCAACCGAAGAGGCAACGGAAGGACCGGCGCCCGACCAUGCUCCGCACCCUCAAGGAGGAAGUUACUGAAGUGGACUCCGACGGGAAUCCAACGGCGCCCGAACGAAUAGUCAAGGGGUACUCGCUUCAGCUCGGGUGCAUUCUCCGGAGCACCGUCUCGAUCAACACCGAGAACCUGAGGCAUCCUGACCGAGGGAAUUUGCGCAACCUCCUCUUCACGAAGCUGCACGAACGAUACAAGUUCCCCGCUGAAUUUGGAAACACAAGCCUCAAAGGGAAUAAAGUGAACAAUGCUGCCCUCACGAAGAUGAGCAAGGCCCUGUCUACUUGGAAAAGCAAUGUGAAGAGAAUGAUCGAGAAAGGUGAGAGUUAUGAGAAGAUCAAGGAGAAAAAUCCUUCGAUCACCGAAGAUGACUACAACGACUUCAAGAUCAAUUGCUCGAGCACCGCAAACUCCGAAUCAAGUAAGUGGGGGAAACAAAUGCGGGAGCUGAACUUAGGGGAACACACACUCGGUCCCGGCGGUUACAGAGUGGCGGAGCCUAUAUGGGACAAGGAGGAGGCGGAACGUGCCGAGCAAGGCCUACCGCCCCUCUUCGAUAAAUACGGUGACAAGCAGACCAGGAACUUUGUCAGGGCCCGGUACAAGAAGGACCCGAAAACAAAGGAGCUUACCACGGAUCUGAAGACCAGGGCGCUUGAGCUUGUUCUGGUAAGGAAUACACCCCCGCGUAAUUAGCUCCAUAUGGUUGCAUUCUAAUUAAUGAAGCCAAAUUUCUAAAUGGUUCACAUUCCUUCCGCAGGCGACUGAAAGCUGUAGCGCGGGGUCGACUAAGAGCAACCCUUGGGACACCACUCUAAAUAGGGCGUUGAAUGUAAUGAAGAACAAGGAUAAGCUCAGUAAGCCGACGUCAGCUGGUCGUGCGGCCGGCAAAGGCUUGUCGACAAAAUGGUCGUCAUACUAUAACACUGGUGGGCGAAAGGAGAAAAAGACCAGCUCGGAAAGCCAGGCGCGCGAGGUUCAAGAACUCAGGGCACAGGUGGCGCGGAUUCCGGAGAUUGUCCAAGAGCAAGUGCAACAACAACUCGGACUGACGAUCACCGCCAUUGUGCCUACCUUGAUCCAGGGGAUUAGUGCGUGGAUUGCGGGCGGCCAGCAGGGGCCGCCCCCGAUUCCUAGCUUCACGGCCAGCAACUCACAGAACGCGAUGGCGGGGCCAUUGGUGUCUCCGGCGGAGGCGGCAUUGGUGUCUCCGACGCCGGCACGGGAGCUUAAUGCACCCGGGUGUACGCCGGCCGGCACCUCUGCAGCAAGCGGCCCCUCCGUCAACUGCACGCCCGCCGUUGGCGGUGCCUCGACAUUAGCCGAGCUCGACGCCAUCAUCACGGUAACUAAUUAAGCCUCUCUCGGCCGAGGACUUCAUCUCCUUGCCUUUGACUGGGCAUCCCUAAUGCCCUACAUGUUUUCGCAGGGCGCCGCCGACGUUCCGUGCACUCUCCUGCACUUCGUGAACAACGAGUUGGUCGAUGUCGCCAAGGGCAAAAUCGUUCAACCGGGCAACCCCUUGUUCCAUGGUACCCAGAUGCCACCCAACUUGUUUAGGGUUCAACUGGUUCGGGUGCUGCCAGGCUGCGACGAGUUGUUACCUCCGAUUCGACCCAUCGGGGCCGAUGAUGAUGACGUGAUGACCCUCAGCGCGUGCCUGAGCUGGCCCCUGCUUUGGCCGAAGAGCCAGAUUCGUUUGGGGGCGGGGGACACCACCCCAAAGACAACACCGCCAGUCGUGCCGGCGCCAAGUCGGCCCCAUGGCAAGACCGCCGCAACGGUGCCGGACAUCCCUAUGCCACUGGAUCCAAACAUGCAUAUGGCAUAGGAUCAGAACGACGACGACGAUACAUUAGCCAACGUCGAUCAGUACUUUGCCGAUCAUGGGUACGGUGGCGACUUCAUGGGGCCUCCUUCUCAAGAACCCAACCCAACAAAAGACGUGCGCGAUCUAGCUAGUACCACGGAGAAGCCAAGUUGCAACAGGCGUCGUCUGCAGUUCAGCUCUCAGGAGACGCCUCCAGCUGCCGACUUCACCGAGCCUCAGAUAGGCGAGGUGUGAAAUAUGAUCAGCCCCAACACACUCAAGAAGGCGGUCUGUGAGCAGAACUCGGUCCCAUUACAGGAGAAGAAGAAGUCACGCAAAAGAAAGACGAACAAGGGUGCGGGCCAGCCGGCACCGAGUACGAUCCGUGCUCAAGACGGGCCACCUUCAACUGAGGAUAUCUCGAGGAGGGUGCAUGUGGCGGGUAGGCCGAUGCUACCGAGAAAUAUGCUCGAUGCUGCAACCGGUGCUAUGCGGAGUCUGCAUGACAGUGUUCUUUCUUUGGAGAAGCGGCGUCUCAGAGAGAAGGAUGUGGCAUACCCGGUUUUCGCGGCCAAGGUGCCAGAGGGCAAGGGCUUUGUGGAUAACUCCAUCGGGGGUACGAUCGUCCUGCGGUUUGAUGACAUCCACGCUAUGUUGAACCUUCAUCCGCUGCACUACACCUUCGUUCGGCUAUUUUCGCUGAGUAUGGAGAUGCGGAUCAUUCGCGACAAGACCCCGGACAUCGUGAUAGUCGACCCCUUCUACAUGCGUGCCAAGAUCUUGGGCAGCGCUGGGGACCGGCAAGUCGCGAGUUCUUACCUCGAAGGCGUCAUUCUGGCAAACCAAGAUAAGGAUAACUUCCUCGUGCCUUACUUUCCCGAGUAAGUCCUCCCCUCAACCGCCCCGUAACAUAUGAAUUCUUAGAUAUCGAUCGUUUUUCUUUUACAUUCCGUGUUUUCUGCAGUGACACACAUUGCACGCUCAUCCUCCUAAGCCCCAAAUAUUCCAUGGCCACGUAUUUCGACCCAGACCGUCAGUCGAACGUACACUACACAAAUGUCAAGAAGGUUCUUGAUGAUGUUCUCCCCGGCUACGUCAAAUCUGGAGGCACCUUCACCAGGCCUAUUCGUAAGUACGGCAAGCACGUGUUCUCCCACAAUACGCCGUUCUGCUGCGUCAAGCAGCCGCCUGGCGGUCAGAAGGGUGCCUACUACGCCAUCCAUCACAUGCGAGCGAUCGUACGGGACCAUCAUCAACUUCUGCUACCGAGUAGACUCAAAGAUUGGGCCGCGAGCGUGUCGGCAAUCCAGGACGCAGACAUCAGACAAGAAUUCUUUCGCAUCCAGUCGGAGUUUGCGGAAAUCAUCCAUCAAGAUGUCCUUCGUACCUCGGGGCAGUUCUACCUCAGAAAUCAACCGUCCAACAGUGACAUUGACACAAUCCUACAAAUGCAGGCUGACAAUGCCCGUUGUUUCAUGACUCCCACGAUAGACGGCGGCUUCAUCCACGCUCCGGUCCCUUGAGUCGAGUCGAAAGCAGUGAUGUUGUGUCUAGUUCUGAAACAUCGAUUGGCUCGUGUUGUAAUUAAACUUUAAUGAACUUGUAGUAUGUCUCUUUGGUUUCGAGAGUUGUUCAACUUAGAUGUAAUCGAUGCUAUUAAUGUCUUGCUUUUCUCUUCCGAUCGUUCUGUUGCAUACUUAUAUAUUGCUUAUGUAUUGUCUGUGAAUUGGUACUAACGUUUCGUUUGGCUACUGCAUAGCGAUGCCGUGGUAUGUCGUGUACAAGGGUAAGGUUCCCGGAGUCUACGACGACUGGGAGGAGUGUCGGAGACAGGUUCACCGAUUCAGCGGUAACAGUUACAAAGGGUACGCCACUAGAGCCGAGGCCGAAUCUAGAUACGCCCGCUAUCUAGCGGGAGAGGGGAGGGAGCGUUGGAGGAACCGGGUGAAGACGAGUUUCAUCGUGAUGAUGCUCAUCGUGAUGACCGCAGCUCUCUUCUAUGUGAUGGUAGUUUAGAUGAUCGAUAUCGACUUGUAAUGUGAAGACAAACUCGCGGUCUCGAGACUUGUAAUAUAAUGUUCUAUCUUUGUUCGGUCUUUUCAAUUCGGAGACUAAUAUGAUGAAUUGUAUUCGGAGACUAAAAUGAUGAAUUGUAUUCAGAGACUAAUCUUCUAUUGUAUUCGAUGAAUCUGUUGUUGAUGUGUGCUGUCUAUAUUUUGUCCAAUUAUACAUUUUGUAACCUGUGCAAAAAACAGAAAAUAAAAAAAUAAAAAAAACUAAUAUUCAUACUAAUGGCGCAUCACAUCAUAGUGCGCCAUUAGUAUGCCAAAGGAUACUAAUGGCGCAUCACUAAACAGUGCGCCAUUAGUAUGCCGAAGUUACUAAUGGCGCAUCCUGUUGUUGUGCGCCAUUAGUAUGCCAAAGCACCUGGGUAUACAUGGCCCCCUGGGAGGCAUACUAAUGGCGCACUGUUGUAUAUACUAAUGGCGCAUCUGGGGUGCGCCAUUAGGAUACCAGAUACUAAUGGCGCACCACUGGUGCGCCAUUAGUAAAAUAUACUAAUGGCGUGGCACUAAUGGCGCACCACUAAUGCGCCAUUAAUGGCCAAAUUAGGUGCGCCAUUAGUAGGCCUUUUCCUAGUAGUGUAAACAAUACCGUAGUAAUCAUUAAAUGACCACAAGGAGCUUGAUCUUUACCCAUGAUUCUCGCACAACAUCACGAAUAUCCAACAACUCGGUAUCCUCGAUACCACGGUGAUCAUUCCGGCGAUCACAACCAUGACCAACACUUGGUCUCAAACAGUGAUCUUUCCGGCGAUCAAAACCAACUUAUCUCAUCAUCAAACCGGGGCUGUUAUUAAUCAAGUUAUUAUUAAUACUGUUGACUCACGGUGGGACCGACACGAACUGGGCCCUUAUCCGCGGGCGCGGCUAUCGAUAGAUUUAAUAUACACUCUGCAGAGGUUAUCACACUGUACCCACAUCACGGAACCCAUGGCCUCGCACUCCCAUUCGGGUGGACCAACGGCGUUCCGACAAAACCGAUCUACUGCCGUGACAUUCUCCCGGCCACUCCGACCAAAUCCUCAACGGGCUAGUCCUGGGUGGCCCCGUGUCUACCAAAGACACCCCGACCACCGUCGUGGUCAAAACACUCCCACUCGGGGACUGGAUCCAUAAAACUAAAAACAACGAGCACACAAGGUUAUGUCUGCCUACCUGAUCAGGGUAAGCACGCCCAUAACCUUCCCUCGUGGGAGGCACCGGCGAGAUGCACGACAAUAGACCCAGUUAGGACCUUCCCAUAAGGUAAGCGUGGUUGCACUGGUCAGAUUCGAUAUGGUGGCACCAUGACUCAGCCAACAGUUGUUCAAGUUCAAUUUAAUCCGGUUAAACUUGAAUGCAAUAUGCUGAGCCAUGAUAAAAUAACAUGAUGCAUAUACAAAGCAUGAGAAUGAUAUCAACAUAAGCACGGGAUGCAACAUAACUAUCCACCAUAUCAACUAUGAAUAAUUUCCAACUGAACAUGGCAUAAUGACGAGCAUAAAUAUUACAAGUGCAACACUACUCAUAACAUAACAUGACCACUAGCAUCAACAAUAAAUACCAUGCAAGAACAUAUCAACAGUGCUAUCAUGCAAGCAUUUAACCAACUAGAUGCAAUAGAACAUGUAUAAGAACAGUACUCGGGACAGAUAGCUGUCAUGCACCGAAGACCAUCACCAACAUCAACAUGUACUACUAGCAAGCAUAAGCAUAUGAAGGAACACUAGCAACUAGCAGGGCAUGACAACUAGGUGCAUGACAACAUAGCAAGAAAGUAAGCACUAACCCAAAAGCAUUACCGAAACAACGAUAACCAUCUUUUAAACAAGCAAACAUUUAUUCAAUAUUCAAGUUGGAAACCAUGGCUACUGCAUGACUAUCAUGCAAGUGGGUAUUGUGGCUUGCCUGGGGAUGAAGAAGGCACCGGGAAGAAGUGCGGUGAAGCCGCGGAAAGAUUU
rnacentral:lncRNA from 1 species